rnacentral:rRNA from 1 species
CUGAAACCGUGUACGUACAAGCAGUGGGAGCACCCUUUGGGGUGUGACUGCGUACCUUUUGUAUAAUGGGUCAGCGACUUAUAUUCUGUAGCAAGGUUAACCGUAUAGGGGAGCCGGAGGGAAACCGAGUCUUAACCGGGCGUUAAGUUGCAGGGUAUAGACCCGAAACCCGGUGAUCUAGCCAUGGGCAGGUUGAAGGUUGGGUAACACUAACUGGAGGACCGAACCGACUAAUGUUGAAAAAUUAGCGGAUGACCUGUGGCUGGGGGUGAAAGGCCAAUCAAACCGGGAGAUAGCUGGUUCUCCCCGAAAGCUAUUUAGGUAGCGCCUCGUGAAUUCAUCUCCGGGGGUAGAGCACUGUUUCGGCUAGGGGGCCAUCCCGGCUUACCAACCCGAUGCAAACUGCGAAUACCGGAGAAUGUUAUCACGGGAGACACACGGCGGGUGCUAACGUCCGUCGUGAAGAGGGAAACAACCCAGACCGCCAGCUAAGGUCCCAAAGUCAUGGUUAAGUGGGAAACGAUGUGGGAAGGCCCAGACAGCCAGGAUGUUGGCUUAGAAGCAGCCAUCAUUUAAAGAAAGCGUAAUAGCUCACUGGUCGAGUCGGCCUGCGCGGAAGAUGUAACGGGGCUAAACCAUGCACCGAAGCUGCGGCAGCGACACUCAGGUGUUGUUGGGUAGGGGAGCGUUCUGUAAGCCUGCGAAGGUGGCCUGUGAGGGUUGCUGGAGGUAUCAGAAGUGCGAAUGCUGACAUAAGUAACGAUAAAGCGGGUGAAAAGCCCGCUCGCCGGAAGACCAAGGGUUCCUGUCCAACGUUAAUCGGGGCAGGGUGAGUCGACCCCUAAGGCGAGGCCGAAAGGCGUAGUCGAUGGGAAACGGGUUAAUAUUCCCGUACUUGGUGUUACUGCGAAGGGGGGACGGAGAAGGCUAUGUUGGCCGGGCGACGGUUGUCCCGGUUUAAGCGUGUAGGUGUGUGUUCCAGGUAAAUCCGGUUCACUUUAACACUGAGGCGUGACGACGAGGCACUACGGUGCUGAAGCAACAAAUGCCCUGCUUCCAGGAAAAGCCUCUAAGCAUCAGGUAACAUCAAAUCGUACCCCAAACCGACACAGGUGGUCAGGUAGAGAAUACCAAGGCGCUUGAGAGAACUCGGGUGAAGGAACUAGGCAAAAUGGUGCCGUAACUUCGGGAGAAGGCACGCUGACAUGUAGGUGAAGUGAUUUACUCAUGGAGCUGAAGUCAGUCGAAGAUACCAGCUGGCUGCAACUGUUUAUUAAAAACACAGCACUGUGCAAACACGAAAGUGGACGUAUACGGUGUGACGCCUGCCCGGUGCCGGAAGGUUAAUUGAUGGGGUCAGCGCAAGCGAAGCUCCUGAUCGAAGCCCCGGUAAACGGCGGCCGUAACUAUAACGGUCCUAAGGUAGCGAAAUUCCUUGUCGGGUAAGUUCCGACCUGCACGAAUGGCGUAAUGAUGGCCAGGCUGUCUCCACCCGAGACUCAGUGAAAUUGAACUCGCUGUGAAGAUGCAGUGUACCCGCGGCAAGACGGAAAGACCCCGUGAACCUUUACUAUAGCUUGACACUGAACAUUGAGCCUUGAUGUGUAGGAUAGGUGGGAGGCUUUGAAGUGUGG